AAUUUGAUGGCAAUUGUUCCAAACAUAAAUAUUUUGUUGGUUGUGUCCUAUGUUCUCUCUAUUUCUAGAUUUUAAUCAGAAGAUCUGUCAAAAAAAAUCUGAAGAUAUCUAUUUGUAUAUAGAUACUUUAUUCUUUAUUCUUAUAUUUAAUCUGAAGAUCAUUGUGAUUCAUAUAUAUUUUGGAAUUCAAUAUAGUAAUGUGGUGUUUGUUAGUGGAUAUAGUACACAUCUUUAAGCGCAAGAUAUAUUAUCAGAUGAUUGACAAAGCAGUUUUGGUAUAUAAUUAUCAGAUGAUAGCACCAUUAUCACGAUUAUUUUACAUUAAUAGCCCAUCAUACAACAAUAUAUAUAAUAUACAUCUUUACUUUUGGAGUAUGCCAUUCCUUUUUUUAUGAUGCUUAGUGGAUUAGUCAAAAGUUCAUUAAGACUUGCAGCAAUCUUUAUGUGUAAUCUAAUCUAGACGUUCACUCUGCUCAAUAUUUGUAAACGGACAAGAACACCGGCUAUUUGUAAACGGACAAGAACACCGGCCCUCUUUCAUCUCAACUGUUGAUCUACAACUACUUGGUAGUCUACACUUCAUGCUAGACAAACCAAAGAUGAGUAAUAUCUCUACUAUAUACGUGUGAUUCUGCGUCACAAUCAGGUAUUUUUUUAUUCAUAUUUGUAAAGUUUCACCUCAUUCAUAUACUAACUUGAGCGUCGGAGUGCUAACCUUUUUUUGCAGGUACCCCUCUUACCUCAAAACGAAUGUCUUACCGCGGUAGUUGUCUUCGUCUUCAGCCUUACAUUGUUUCAGUAUGGAAUAGUUAUAAUUGAAUGUUCUAAAUCUUCUUCAUACAAGUCUUUUGCAUGCAUGCUGAAGUUCUGAUUUUUUUUUUCAAUUGAGUGCUAGAUAAUGUUUCUUUCCAUAACAUAUAAGCUCCCAAAUUUCGUACAGUCGCAAUACAUAUAAGCUCUUGGUUAAUAACAAGAGCGGUGAAGAAUCUACUGGCAAUGGGGAGAUGGAACAAGGAGGAGAAAUCAUCCAAAGUGAUUAGCUUCAUAUCUAAAACCUUAAGAACAGAGAACAGCUCCAGAUAGAUAAAUUUAACUUCUUCAACGAGUCUUUUUCUUUUCUUUUUCUCGCCUUUAUAUCCAGACAUGCAAAUUGAAUUUCGAACAUGUUUUGCUGCAGCAGCAUCUUGCUUUGUCAAAACAAUACCCUUCUUCGAAGCAUGCAUCAGCCUAGCUUUUUGAUUUGGUGAUAUCUAUAAAAUUAUUUUUGUUUUCAAUUCUGAGAGCGUAUUUUUUUUGAAGUUUUCUUUUGAUCUUGUAUAAGUUGUUGAAGUUUGUGUUUCUUCCUUGUUGAGGUUUUUGUGUUUCUGUUAUCAGGGACUUAGAUCUUUGGCUAAGUGCAAAUUAUGGAAUUAGAUACCAUCUUUGAAUCUUUGAUAUAGCCCAAGCACGUCUCAGUGUCGUGUGUCAGAUACUGACGCUUCCUACUAUGGCUGCACUUUAAUUUGGUCAUCACUACCAAGACUUUUACGCUUUAGUCUUUUGUUUGAUUUGAUACACAACAUCUACUUUUGUCGGAUUCUUUGAGCUGUGUGAGUUUUGCAGGGAGAUGCAUUUAUCCCGUUUCGCAGAAAGCUGAGAAAUAUGGUGGAUAUCCAGAAUGCCUUGAUACAACAACCAGAACGGAAAAUAACUCCAGAUAGUUAAAUCAAUUUUUUAUGGGUCAUUCUUUACCAUUUUUGUUUCCGGCCUUUGAUUGCAAGGCAUACAAAUUGAUUUUUGAACGUGUUUUUCUGCAGCGUUGUUGUGUCCAACUAAUAACCUUCAUCAGAGCAUGGAGCUUAGCAUUUCAAUUUUUGAUUUGGUGAUCUCCAUUAAAUUCUUUUUAUAUUGAUUAUAUUUUUUGGUUCUGAAACCAUAUCUUCUUUGAUUUGGUGUUUACUCUCUGGUGUUGCAGGAUAGUUAAUAUGUUAACAGACGAUUUCUUCUAGUUCUAUUUUCCUCUUGUUUGAUCUUCAUGGCUGUUGAUUUUUUGCUUUCUUGAUUCUCUUAAGUUUGAUUUGGUUUUUGUUAGUUUUGACCUUGGAAGUUACUGUCUACUAUUAUUUUGUUAGGGUUUUAAAUGAUUGUUCUUUUGUGUCAACUAUUAUUCCUCGGUUGAUUUCUGUACAUAUGGGUGUUUUGCGUUUAAUUUGUUGGCAGCACUUAUUGGCAAAAUCUGGAGUUUUGGUUUGAAUUUUAUGUCUUAAGGUUGCAGAUUGAUAUCAAAUAAUGGUAAUGUUUUGCAUUUAUCACCUUACUUGAAUUGCAAAUUGAAACUUGUACUGUUUUCUGUUAUGUAAUGUGUACUGUAGUAUCAAGCAAUGUGUGUGUAAUCAAGCAAUCAGUUUCUUUUUAAAUAUACUCUUCUUGGAUUGUGAAUUGUUUUCAUUUCAUUGCUUCUAUAUAGAGUUUUAUUGUCCUGUUUUCUCGAUUUACACCUUUAUGAUCCUGUUUUCUCGAUUUACUCCUUUGCAGAUUGAUAUGAAAUAAUGGUGAUAUUUUGCAAUUAUCACCUUACAUGAAUUGCGAAUUGAAAUAUGUACUGUUUUCUGUUAUGUAGUGUGUUUUGCAUCAAUAGUGUUUUGUGUAGUAUCAAGCUAUGAGUAAUCUAUAAAUCAGUUUUUUUUAAUAUACUCUUCUUGGAUUGUGAAUUGUCCUCGGUUUAUUCUUUUAAAAGUAUAUCCUCUUCCUUGCAGUGGUCAAAGUACUCCAGUGUAUUGUGUCAUUUCAUAUGGGCACAUAGUCUUGCAAAUUGGAUGGAAGUUUGUCCCAUCGAAUCAUAUCAUCUUUUGCAGGCUGUGUCUAAUACUUCAUAAUCCUGUUGCUAGGCCUUAAUUUGGCCAUCUAUACUCACUCUUCACAUUUCAGUCUCUUUCAUAUUCAGCUUUUGUCGGUCCCUUGUGAUUUGAUAUGGAACCUGUGACAGGAAGAUGUUCGCAUACUGUGUUCAACCUGGGAAAAGAUCGAUUUUUGUAUUACUUGCAUAUGUGUGUAAGUUUUCGGAUUUGUGAUAGCUUUUUUCUUUGAAGGCAUGUCUUGCUGUAGUUGGAGUUGUCCUGUUUCUGCAUUAGGAAUAUAUGAAGCAUACAAAAUUCUAAAGUACAUCUUAGGGAGGUUGAGGAAUUUUGGACAACAUGGUUUGGCAUUCUAUUGUUCGGGGGUAUUUGCCUGUUAUAAUUAUUUUCCCUAUUUUCUUUUCAAUUGUGUUAUAUCUGAGCAGAAAAAUAAGAUUUUUUCCCCCGAGUGUCCCCCACAAAAUCUGUAAUUGCAGCAGCACCAGAAUCUACAAUUUGCUGCUGCUGUUGUUCUUUCAUGUUGUGAUCUCCUCUGAUUGAAUUCUUGCACGAGUUCUAUGUUGGCGUCACAGGAGUUUGACUUCUCUUAGUAAGGCAUGGUAAAAUAAUGUUCUUAAUAGUGCAGAGCUUCUCUUGUCACUUUCCGUUUCAGUAUUUCUUUAUCAAUUCUGCGAGCAUAUAUUUGUUGAUUUGUUAUCUUCCUCUUUGGUGUUACAGGAGAUGUAAUUUAUAUGAUCACAAUUCCUUCGGAUUCAAUCUUCCUCUUCUUUGAUAUUCAAGUUUUUAUAUUCCUACUCUCUCUUUUCCUUGGUUACAUUGGGUCUUAUGAUGAAGGGGUUUGAUCUGGUUCUUGCUGGUUUUGAUCUUGGAGUUUGCUCUUCUUUUUUUAAUGGUCUUGUUUGGGUUUUAAUUGAUUGUUCUUUGAAUUCUAUUUUGAUAAUUUGUGUAGUUUUUCUAUAUAAUAAUGCUUCAUUUGAUAAACAUUCAAUGCUGUUAAAAUUAAAAGAAUAUUGACAUGUGAUUAUCUGUAUUGUAGCGAGCUGAUUUCGAGGUAUCCGGAACAGUUUGCACUUCUUGAUUACAAUGGAGAAGAAGGAUUAUGAUUGCAAUUCUUUAUUAUUUUUAAUUUCAGACUUUGAUCUCAAGACAUACGAUUUGAAUCUAAAUCUGUUUUUUUGCAGCUUGGUUUGUUAGUCUAAUUUUCAAUAUAUCGUGGAGCCUGCGUUUUGCUUUGGUGAUCUCUUUUAAAAUCUCUUAGUUUUCUAAAAUUCUUUAUUCCUUUGAAAAAAAUAUUAUUCUUGAUCAUUUAUUUUCUCUGGUGUUUCAGGAAAAGUAGUUUGUGAGCAUAUUAUUCUUCGGGUUUUGUAUUAUGGUUCCUUUAUGGUUUCUUGAUAUUGGGGUUUCAUUUUGUUCUGGAUUUUAUUGGCAUACAUGUGAAUUGAAAUAUGGCUCUAGUUUUUUUGGUACUGAGAUUCUUUCAUUUGAUUUCUUCUCUGUUGAUUCUUUUUGUCUAGGCUUCUUAUUAAUUCCUUUAGUUUUAGUUUGUCUAUUGAUGUUUAAUUGAAAAUAUCAUCUUAAGGGUUCUUAACAUCUACUUUUGUCUUACAAAUGUUUGUUCUACAUUUGGGUUUUUGUAUUCAGAAAGUGCAGAAGUUUACAUAAUUUUCUAGACAUUCGGAAAAAUUGGUGGGCCUCUCUCUGUUAUCUGGAUCUGCAACUUGGUUUGGAGAGUUAUGCUAUAUUCUUUCUUUCUUCUUGGGUCCUUUUUCUACAACCUAUCUGGCAGUUUAAUUUUUCUGUACAUUUAUCGUAUGUUGCUGACAGAGUAACUUUGCUGUACAACAGAAGUUUUCUUAAUUCUGAAUCACACUCACAUUUUUAUUUGGUCUAUAGUGGAGAAAUUGGAGAUAAGUGUCUCUGCUGCAUUGUAUAAAUUAUCUUUGGUGAACGAAUUCAUUCAAAAUGUUGUGGUAGCUGGUGUAUAUAUUUUCUAGGGUUUAAUUUGGGCACCUUGGUUAGGUACGAUUUGACGAUAGAUCCUUUGGUAUUAGGUGGCACCUUGGAUACAAGUACUUGCAAAUUGGCUGGAUAUAUAUGUCCACGAACCAUUAUGUCUUUAGAGGUUAUGUUGUAUUCUACAAUUUUGUCAUUUCUACUCAGAAGACUCUUUACACUUCAAUGUGUUUGACACUCGGCAAUUUUGAAUUCCUUCGAAUUUUUUCGAGUGUUAUAGAGGAGACAGAGGCAACCCAUAUGAAAGUCUGGUGUGAUGUGGCAUAUGGCUUGUGGCAACAUAGUUUAACAUGCUAUUCGGCAACAGAGGUUAACAUACUAUUGUUCCAAAGUUGGGAUACAAAUACAACCCUUCUUUUAUAUGAUAUCUGUCUUUUUUUGAUGGUGUGUUCUGGGAGUGUUGCGAGUUUUUGUAUUUAUAAUUUUGUAGCAGGAGCAUAAUAUUGAAGCAUACCAGUUUCUAGACUGAAGUACAUUUUUAUGGCCGAGCCAAGGAAUUCUUGACGACUUGAUAUGGCUCACUUUUUUCUAUAUUCUCCCAAGUGGAUAUUUAUCGAAGUGGGGAUGCCGAAAUUUUUUCCGUUCCAUAUGGACUGUAUAUAUUUGUUCCACAAUAGUCCUCCCUGGAUUGCAUGCACAACAUUGCUGAACAGAAUUGUGGAGCAUAUCUCUUCUCGCUACCUUCUCCGUUUUUAAUCAAAUUGUGGCCGUGUUUGAUUUGAUGAUCUACAUCUAAAGAGAGUUAUUCUUGCACUCUUUUACCGUUUGUUUCUUUUAUUUCUGAUAUAUUGGAAUAGGAAUUCGUUCUCUCUAAGGAUUUCAUUGGGCACCAGAAUUCAUUAUUGGAACCAUCAUGUUCUGCAGACUGUAAGAUAAUCUCUAAGGAAUUCGAGUCAUAAACGUUUCUGUAGAAAACUUGUUUCAUUUUCUAGAGUGAACAGCGUGGUUUGGGAAAGUAUCUCCAUCCGGUGUUUGGUAAGGUAAAUUGUGCUCAUAUUGAGGUCCAAAAUAUGCAAUUUGAUGGCAAUUGUUCCAAACAUAAAUAUUCUGUUGGUUGUGUCUUAUGUUCUCACUAUUUCUAGAUUUUAAUCCGAAGAUCUAUGUCAAAAAAAAUCCGAAGAUAUCUAUUUGUAUAUAGAUACUUUAUUCUUUAUUGUUAUAUUUAAUCUGAAGAUCAUUGUGAUUCAUAUAGAUUUUGGAAUUCAAUAUAGUAAUGUGGUGUUUGAUAGUGUUGUUGAGUUCAUUUGGGAUUUUGUUUUGGAUUAGUCAAAAGUUCAUUAAGACUUGCAGCAAUCUUUAUGUGUAAUCUAAUCUAGUCGUUCAGUCUGCUCAAAUAUUGGUAAACGGACUAGAACACCGGCCCUCUUUCAUCUCAACUGUUGAUCUACAACUACUUGGUAGUCUACACUUCAUGCUAGACAAACUAAAGAUGAGUAGUAUCUCUACUAUAUCCGUGUGAUUCUGCGUCACAAUCAGGGGAGAUAGCUCAACAGUACACUGGACUUUGAAGCUUUGAUGGAGAUUAUCAAAAACUUCGUUUACUAGUUUCUUAUAUAGUAAGAAAGUCCUCUUUUAAAUGGAUAUUAUUUUUGCAGCAGAGGCAACACAAUAUGUGAUAUAUGAGAACGCUUACGAAUGAAUGUAUAAUGAGUUGUUAAAGUUACACUUGGGGUUAUAUUAAAUCUUGGAAUAAAAUGAAUCAAUUUUCUGUGUA